rnacentral:tRNA from 1 species
GGUGGCUCAGUGGUAGAGUGCUUGCCUCAUAUGCAUGAGGUCCUGGGUUCGAUUCCUCAACACCA